AGCGAACGCUGGCGGCAGGCCUAACACAUGCAAGUCGAACGAAGUCUUCGGACUUAGUGGCGGACGGGUGAGUAACACGUGGGAACGUGCCUUUAGGUUCGGAAUAACUCAGGGAAACUUGUGCUAAUACCGAAUGUGCCCUUCGGGGGAAAGAUUUAUCGCCUUUAGAGCGGCCCGCGUCUGAUUAGCUAGUUGGAGAGGUAAAGGCUCACCAAGGCGACGAUCAGUAGCUGGUCUGAGAGGAUGAUCAGCCACAUUGGGACUGAGACACGGCCCAAACUCCUACGGGAGGCAGCAGUGGGGAAUCUUGCGCAAUGGGCGAAAGCCUGACGCAGCCAUGCCGCGUGAAUGAUGAAGGUCUUAGGAUUGUAAAAUUCUUUCACCGGGGACGAUAAUGACGGUACCCGGAGAAGAAGCCCCGGCUAACUUCGUGCCAGCAGCCGCAGAA
rnacentral:rRNA from 1 species